AUUGAACGCUGGCGGCAGGCCUAACACAUGCAAGUCGAGCGAGCGGCGGACGGGUGAGUAAUGUAUGGGGACUGCCCGAUAGAGGGGGAUAACUACUGGAAACGGUAGCUAAUACCGCAUACUAUCGGAUAACCCAUAGGGGAUUAGCUAGUAGGUGAGGUAAUGGCUCCCCUAGGCGACGAUCCCUAGCUGGUCUGAGAGGUUGAUCAGCCACACGUGGACUGAGAACAGGCCCCUACUCCUACGGAGGCAGCAGUGGGGAAUAUUGAACAAUGGGCGAAAGCCUGAUGCAGCCAUGCCGCGUGUGUGAAGAAGGACAUAGGGUUGUAAAGUACUUUCAGUCGGGAGGCGUUACCGACAGAAGAAGCACCGGCUAACUCCGUGCCAGCAGCCGCGGUAAUUC
rnacentral:rRNA from 1 species